GAUGAACGCUGGCGGCGCGCCUAAUACAUGCAAGUCGAGCGAACAGAUAAGGAGCUUGCUCCUUUGACGUUAGCGGCGGACGGGUGAGUAACACGUGGGUAACCUACCUAUAAGACUGGGAUAACUUCGGGAAACCGGAGCUAAUACCGGAUAAUAUUUCGAACCGCAUGGUUCGAUAGUGAAAGAUGGUUUUGCUAUCACUUAUAGAUGGACCCGCGCCGUAUUAGCUAGUUGGUAAGGUAACGGCUUACCAAGGCAACGAUACGUAGCCGACCUGAGAGGGUGAUCGGCCACACUGGAACUGAGACACGGUCCAGACUCCUACGGGAGGCAGCAGUAGGGAAUCUUCCGCAAUGGGCGAAAGCCUGACGGAGCAACGCCGCGUGAGUGAUGAAGGUCUUCGGAUCGUAAAACUCUGUUAUUAGGGAAGAACAUACGUGUAAGUAACUGUGCACGUCUUGACGGUACCUAAUCAGAAAGCCACGGCUAACUACGUGCCAGCAGCCGCGGUAAUACGUAGGUGGCAAGCGUUAUCCGGAAUUAUUGGGCGUAAAGCGCGCGUAGGCGGUUUUUUAAGUCUGAUGUGAAAGCCCACGGCUCAACCGUGGAGGGUCAUUGGAAACUGGAAAACUUGAGUGCAGAAGAGGAAAGUGGAAUUCCAUGUGUAGCGGUGAAAUGCGCAGAGAUAUGGAGGAACACCAGUGGCGAAGGCGACUUUCUGGUCUGUAACUGACGCUGAUGUGCGAAAGCGUGGGGAUCAAACAGGAUUAGAUACCCUGGUAGUCCACGCCGUAAACGAUGAGUGCUAAGUGUUAGGGGGUUUCCGCCCCUUAGUGCUGCAGCUAACGCAUUAAGCACUCCGCCUGGGGAGUACGACCGCAAGGUUGAAACUCAAAGGAAUUGACGGGGACCCGCACAAGCGGUGGAGCAUGUGGUUUAAUUCGAAGCAACGCGAAGAACCUUACCAAAUCUUGACAUCCUUUGACAACUCUAGAGAUAGAGCUUUCCCCUUCGGGGGACAAAGUGACAGGUGGUGCAUGGUUGUCGUCAGCUCGUGUCGUGAGAUGUUGGGUUAAGUCCCGCAACGAGCGCAACCCUUAAGCUUAGUUGCCAUCAUUAAGUUGGGCACUCUAAGUUGACUGCCGGUGACAAACCGGAGGAAGGUGGGGAUGACGUCAAAUCAUCAUGCCCCUUAUGAUUUGGGCUACACACGUGCUACAAUGGACAAUACAAAGGGUAGCGAAACCGCGAGGUCAAGCAAAUCCCGUAAAGUUGUUCUCAGUUCGGAUUGUAGUCUGCAACUCGACUACAUGAAGCUGGAAUCGCUAGUAAUCGUAGAUCAGCAUGCUACGGUGAAUACGUUCCCGGGUCU
rnacentral:rRNA from 1 species